GAAUAAUGUAUCUAGGCUAUGGUUUGGAAUUUUGCCUGUUUUUGUGACACCAGAGCAGUGGUUCCUACUGUCUUGUGGGGAAAAAAAAUGAGGGAAACAAGUGUGAGUAAGCCUUGAAAGAAACACCAAGCAAAGGUUUGUUACAGCCCCCUGCAAGGAAUACACCAGAAAACUCAUGAAGAAAAACAAGCCAGGUAAACAAGCAGUGCCCAGUACAACUCAUUUUAGAGUCAGGCUUGGAACUGACCUUCAAGAAGUGUCUAUAUGGUGGAGAGCAGCACAUUUUUUGUAUUUCUGUUCAAGACCUACAAGAAAAUUAAUAGCCUCCAGAUAUUACCCUGCUGGAUCAGGAGACUAUAAAUUACUUCUACAGGAUGAUCAAGUGAUAUUCUUCUACCUGAGGGCUUUGCAGCUUGCUUAUCUGAGUGGUGAUCAAAAUUAUAAGGCUCUUAUAGAGGUAGGCAAGAGAAAAAGAAGAAUCUACCUCUUUUCAGGUGCCUGUAUUCCUGCUUACAAAUAUUAUGUAAUAUAUGUAUGA
rnacentral:lncRNA from 1 species